UACGAUUGGUGCAAUUGACCA
rnacentral:siRNA from 1 species